rnacentral:rRNA from 1 species
UGGCACCUACGGGAGGCAGCAGUGAGGAAUAUUGGUCAAUGGUCGGGAGACUGAACCAGCCAAGCCGCGUGAGGGAUGAAGGUACAGAGUAUCGUAAACCUCUUUUGUCAGGGAACAAAGGCGGGGACGCGUCCCCGGAUGAGUGUACCUGAAGAAAAAGCAUCGGCUAACUCCGUGCCAGCAGCCGCGGUAAUACGGAGGAUGCGAGCGUUAUCCGGAUUUAUUGGGUUUAAAGGGUGCGCAGGCGGUCUGUUCAGUCAGCGGUCAAAGCCCGGGGCUCAACCCCCGCCCGCCGUUGCA